CAGAGUGGCAUGGGUGACGCAGAGGCUCUCACUCAGGUGGUGCUGCCCGUGGCCUUCCAGUUCAAUCCACAGCUGGUCCUGGUCACUGCCAGCCUUGAUGUUGGUGCGGGGACCCACUUGGAGGUUGCUGCGUGAGUCCUAAUUGCUUUGGACAUAUGAUGGCCCUUCUGUCUGGCCUGGCCAAGGGGCGCAUGGUUCUGGCACUGGAGGGCGGCUUCGACCUCACCACCAUCAGCUACUGCAUGACGCUGUGUGCCAAGGCCUUGCUGAGGGAUCCGCUGCCCCCCCUUGAGCCCCAGCUGGUGCCCAACAAGAGUGCCGUGCAGACCAUCAAUGACGUCAUCCGUACCCACAGCCGCUACUGGCCGGCGCUCUGCUUCAAGAAAGAAGAAGAAGAAAAGAAGAGAAGGAAGAGAAGGAGAGGG